UUUUAGGUAAAUUUUACAUUUAAUCUUGCUGGAAUCAUUUAAAUGGUGUCUCGGGAAUUAGAAAUAGAAGCAUGCAAAACAGCAGUGUUUAUGCCAGUAAAAACUUGUGCACUAUAUAUUUUAUUUAUUUAUUUUAUUCUAUUCUGAAGGUGGCAGCAAGCACAUUGUCUCAGCACAUUGUGUUUUUGCUUAAGUGUCAUGUGUUGGUACAAAAUGUCAAAGGUGCUACAUAUAAUAAAUCCUGACAUAUUUAAUGCCUCUAAGUAUGAGUUUGCUUAGCUAAUUCCUUAUUAAAUGAACAUAAUUACAAUAAGCAAUGUGGUAGAAAACGUUAGACUAUACAGUAGGGACCGUCCAUCCAUUAUCAAACUCACUUAACUGUGUUUUGGGUCAAAUGCCAGCAAUUACCAUUUGCGUAAGGUAUACACCUAAAGAUAACAAGUGGAACAUUUUUUUAGAAAGUGUUACAGGGUCAGUUGUUGUAAAGUUGAGAUAAUGUUGGGCCUUUUUUAUUAUUAUAGUGGGAAAGUUAAUUUCUCUAAGAAAAAUCAGAUAUUAGAAAUCUUUGAUGUGACAGAGUUAUCUAAAAAACAAAAAAAUAAUGCAUUAGAAAAUGCAAAUCAAGAGAAACAAAAAGUAAUAUGCAAUAGUGAUAUCUAAUCCUAUGUCAGCAUAGAAUAUCAGAUGAAUAAACUACUAUGUGAAAUAAGCAGCAGAGACCCAGAUGGUUAUUAUUAUUUUCUGGUGAAUGGAGCAUGCAAAACAGAAACUGUUAUAUAAGCUAAACAAUAAUAAAAGAAGAAGAAAUUACCAGUCCAAUUAAGGUUGAUUAAACAUUUUUGGCUAUGUGUAUUUCCGCUAUGAAUAUUUCAAAUAGGUCAUUUUUUAAAUUAUAUUACUCUAUUACAUAAGUGUCAGCUGAUUCAAAGAAUCCCGAAAAUAUUUAGAGCAGAACUUAUUUUUUUUCUUCCUGUGCACUUAGUGUAUGUUGUACCAUAAAUUGUUUGUGACAAGUUGUAAAAGCGUCUUGUGGCCAUGGAAGUUGGACACAGAAGAUGAUGUGUGUCGACAGCUGCUUUGCAAUACAGUGAUACAAUCCCAUCAUUCUGGUUGGGUUAGCCUGUGUGGUAUAAAAGGCUGCCUUGCGAAUGAGAUUCUCUCAGUCACUGGUCUCCUCAGCCAGGAGUGACUCUGCACUCACCAAGAGCUCUUCAGUUAAACAAAAUAGUAUCUGCAGAGUUGGGAAAAGGAAAGGUUGAUGAAGUUAAAAGUGACAAGCUGAUGAUCACAACUGAUGGUAACUCUGAGUGAUGUUCUCUAACUGCUAGAAAAACCAGACUGAACAGACAUGAUCAUUCGAUUAGGUAGACUGACUCCUGGAUACUUUCGGCUUCUGCAGAGACAAAUUGCAGGGGAGGUUGAAACACAGCAAAAAGACAGAAUGGUUAAUCACAUUGCUAUGUUGCUAGCAAUUGUUGGACUUGGUCUGUCAUACUACAGUUCCAGAAGAAUGGCCAGACAAGCUAACGGAAACCAGAUUUCUUAAAUCGCCUAAGUUGAAUACUGAUGGGAGAAUGGUAUAGAAGUGUUGGAAGACUGUAAAAAUAGGAAACAGUAACUAUUCAGAUUCUUGCAAACACCAUUAUAGAUAAGGCUGAUCACUGAAAGCCAGAGGAUUUAAGAAUGAGCAAGGACCAGUUAUAAUAACUUUUGAUCGCUACUUUUACCAUUUGUAGCCAAAAAAACUUCAUUGUAAACAUUUACUAAACAAGAGUACAUAAAGUGGCAAUUCUGUCAGUGAAACAUGAAGUAAUGAAAUAUGAUGGGAAGAGGUACCAAAUUUUCACAAAAUCCCAUAGUGAACUAUUCUUAGAGAUGAAGUCUUGUUUGUAGUUACUCAUUAACUAAAAGAGAUACUAGCCUGUCCUGCCUAUGACCACACCAGGACAUGAAUCCAGCAGGGUAGCAGUAUCAAUAACUAUUUUCCUGCCAUAUUACCCUCAGGCUAUUUGUCCUUAAUCCAGGAAAAUGUUUGUUAACAAUUUCGAAAUGAAACAAAUUGCACAUAGGUUGACAUUUAAGUUAAAAUACAUAUGAACAUAUAGUAGAUAUAUUUUCGAUCUUUUUUCUAUUAGUUACUUAAUUGUUAUUAUAGUUAAGAAUUCUUACAAAAUACCAAUAUGAAAUUACAUAAGUGGUUAGAGAUGUAUGUUUCUUAAUUCAACUUUUAGCAUUUUUAGUAGACAAUGUUGUAUUCUCAUUUGUCUCUCCCACAGCCCUUUCAAAAGACCACUCUUCUCAAGUAAAGGAAGUUUUUUUUAAUAUUUUGUUCUUCCUUUGUCAUGUAUUCAUAUAGAACUUUCCAUGAAACUCCAUAUUUCAGGGAAUCUGUACAAUAUAUUAUGAUGAACAUUGUUACAUUUGAAACAUCGGUAGCUUAACUGACAUGCUUAGAUUCACACAAUACACCAGCAGUGGCUUUAAAAACCUGCAACCAUAUGAAUUAUGUUUUACAUCUAGAACCUGUAAGUCUCACUGUCAGUGCUUAUGUAUUCCAUAUAUUUUACUCGGAGCGACUCAUUGUUAAGUUUAAGGAAUUCAUUUUGACAAACUGCAUGAAUUUAUUGAAACUAGGCUUCAGACCCAGGUGGUUUCUGAAACACUGGAUCUCACAACAUUUGGGAUUCUUUAAUACAUUAGCAAAAUACAAAAUAAGUCCUUUUGAAUAGCAGUUGUAACUGUUGUAUUUUUCUAAUGAGGAGUAAUUAAGUAACUUGAUUUAUUUAGACAUUGUAAUAUAUAUAAUCCUACAACUUAAUGUAAUUUAAACAUUUAUUUAAUUUUAUGUUUAGGGUAUAUGUCCUUGCAAAGUAUGUUUUGUUUUAAGCUUUGGUAAGGAAUGAGCAGAUGACCAAGUUAAGAGUUUAGCUGAAUAGAUGAGAAAUUUAAACAAAUGAAAGAAAUGAUAUAAAAAAACUAACAUUGCAGUAGAAUAAAAAAUAUUUUAAAGGUCUGAAUCAGACGUUGCUUCAUUUUAAUCAUCAUUCUUAAUGUUCAUUUCCUUGUCUGAUAUGUAACACAGUUUUUAUUUUUGGCACAAAUGUUAUUUAUAAGUAGGGGAUGACUUCUGUUAACAAAAGAAAGGGUGCAAUAAUAAAAGUCGAUCUAAACAAAGGACUUGACAAAGCAGAA